CUUUCUCGGCAGCGCCGUAGAGCGCGAGCAGACGGUGCAGCAUGGCGCACAGCGGAGGCCGCGGGCGGCCGAACCCGGCGUGUCCUUGGGCGUUUCCAGGUGCAACAAAACCUGCUCAUUUGAAGGUGCUUGAACAAAUAUUUUCUAAACACUUGUCAUGGAGAGUGAUUGAAACAAGCUGCCAGGACUACAUUUGCCAAUAACAAGCAUGUAGGUGGCUGUAGUGGAUGUCCAACUUUGGGAGCUGUGAUGUCUAAAAACCCUUUAUUGUUUUGGGUGCAGCUUACAUAUUGGAAGGUAAAAUGAAGGCCAUGAACAAAGUCAAGAAGCCAUAAACAGAAGCAAAUGGUGAAAAUUAAUAUCUAAUUUAAUAUUAAUAAGUUAUAUAUAAAUAAACAGUUAUUCUU